GACGAAGGGGGCAAGCGUUGUUCGGAAUUACUGGGCGUAAAGGGCGCGUAGGCGGCUCUUUAAGUCAGGCGUGAAAGCCCUGGGCUCAACCUGGGAGUGGCGCUUGAUACUGGAGGACUAGAGAGUGGGAGAGGUUGGUGGAAUUCCCAGUGUAGAGGUGAAAUUCGUAGAUAUUGGGAAGAACACCGGUGGCGAAGGCGGCCAACUGGACCAUUUCUGACGCUGAGGCGCGAAAGCGUGGGGAGCAAACAGG
rnacentral:rRNA from 1 species